rnacentral:rRNA from 1 species
AUUCCGGUUGAUCCUGCCGGAGGCCAUUGCUAUUGGGAUCCGAUUUAGCCAUGCUAGUUGUACGAGUUCAGACUCGUAGCGAAUAGCUCAGUAACACGUGGCCAAACUACCCUUCGGACCACGAUACCCUCGGGAAACUGAGGUUAAUAGUGGAUUACACACUCAUACUGGAAUGUCGAGUGGGUCAAACGCUCCGGCGCCGAAGGAUGUGGCUGCGGCCGAUUAGGUAGACGGUGGGGUAACGGCCCACCGUGCCAAUAAUCGGUACGGGUCAUGAGAGUGAGAACCCGGAGACGGAAUCUGAGACAAGAUUCCGGGCCCUACGGGGCGCAGCAGGCGCGAAACCUUUACACUGCACGCCAGUGCGAUAAGGGGAUCCCAAGUGCGCAGGCAUAGAGCCUGCGCUUUUGUACACCGUAAGGAGGUGUACGAAAAGGGCUGGGCAAGACCGUGCCAGCCGCCGCGGUAAUACCGGCAGCCCGAGUGAUGGCCGAUCUUAUUGGGCCUAAAGCGUCCGCAGCU